CAUUGGUUAGCUCAGUCGGGUAGAGCAACGCACUUGUAAUGCGUCUGUCACGGGUUCGAUUCCCGUACCAACAA
rnacentral:tRNA from 1 species